GUGCUUGCUGCGGCAGCACACAUGCUGAAAUUGGAGUGAUGGCAGAGAAGAUGAGCAUGGCCCCUGUACAAAGAUGAUAUGCAGAUUUGUGGAGUGUUCCAUAUGUUC